rnacentral:lncRNA from 1 species
GGGUAGAGAUGAGGUUGGGCUCAAUAACUAUUAGGUGAGGGACCUAAUGACGACUUUGCACCUACUGGUGAACAAUAGAUCUAACAUAACUAAGAAGUAUGGUCAAUAUUUGUCAGAUGAGUCCAUAUGACUUAAAGAUCGAAUUACUGCAAUAUACUUAGAGAAGCAUUGGAUAAGAGUUGUCCACUCAUUGGUAUAAAUACUACCAAUAUCUAUCAGG